rnacentral:rRNA from 1 species
UACGAAGGGGGCUAGCGUUGCUCGGAAUUAUUGGGCGUAAAGGGCUCGUAGGCGGUUUGUCGCGUCGGGGGUGAAAACACGGGGCUUAACCCCGUGCCUGCUUCCGAUACGGGCAGACUAGAGGUAUGCAGGGGAGAACGGAAUUCCUGGUGUAGCGGUGAAAUGCGCAGAUAUCAGGAGGAACACCGAUUGCGAAGGCAGCUCGCUGGGACGUCACUGACGCUGAGACGCGAAAGCGUGGGGAGCAAACAGG